rnacentral:sRNA from 1 species
GCACCCUUACAUUAUUAAAAAAAAAAAUACAACGUGUGAGAUAAAUAAUACGUUCACAAGGCUAUCUUAAGUGGUCUGCAGGAGUUCUGAUGCCCCUGUACUUACUAACAGAAAGUAACUCAUUGUAGAUUACUCGCGCUUAAAAAUGUUAAAUACAGUUAAUGCAAUAUUAAUCGCCCUUUGGUGAUAUAAAAUGCAAUAUUUUCAGGCAGCUAUUGAGCUUUUCCAGAGGAAGGGCGAUGAGAAGAGUCGCAGCUGAAUAGUGGGAGAAAAAGCCUGGUAUUUAUUGCUUUUGUUUGGCUUUUGGCUACAGAGACAGGAACCUUCUAAUGGGGAGACAAAUUUGGUUGGUAGGCCAAAGAGCUCACAAGGACCAACACCCCUCCCCCCUUCGAGGGUCAGGAAUCAGCUUGAAGCACAAGGAUCUUCAUUUACUAGGUUCAGUGAAGGUCUCUGCAGAGCAACCCAGGGAAGACCCUAUGACAAGGAAAAUGUAGCAACGCGGAUGUAGAGACGAAUCCCCACGGUUGGCAGAAGCAUGAUCAUGUCUUCAUCUGAAUAUAAUGAAGAAAUAAUGGAUCCGAAAUCUGCUAUCAAAGGAGUUGUGAAGAGCGGCACUUGUCAGCAUAAUACCGAUAGGAAGAACAUGGAGUUAAAUGAGAAGGAGAUACAGAGACCUACAACGGACAUGAUGCAUAGUGAGAUACCUUGGAACACUCAGCCCUAAGAGGGAUGACUCCAUUCAUCCUUCUCCUCACGGCUCAGGGAACCUGUGGAAGAGGGGCAGAAAGAGCCAGAGACGACAGAGGACACUGAGAAAGCAAGACCCUAUAAAUCAACAUGAGUAAAGCUCACAUAACUUACAAAGACUGGAGCAGUGCGCACAGGGCUUGUGGUAGUCUGCACCAGGUCCGUGGCACAUAAUGAUGCUUGUUUGUUUGUCUUGCCCAACUCUGUUAGUUUCUUUUUUUAUUUAACUAGUACGAUUAUAGUACAUCAUUAUACUUAUUACCCCUUAGAAGCCUGUUUGUUUUCUAGUGAGAGACCGAAAGGUAGAGGAUGAAGAUGAGAGGAGAGGUGGAGAGAGACUUGGAGGAGUAGAGGGGAGGGAAGCCAUAAUCAGCAUAUUCUAGAUGAGAAAAUAAAUCCAUUUUCAAUGAAAGAAAAAAAUAUGGAAAUUCCCUCCUGUGAUGGUUUGCCUAUGCUUGGCCCAGGGAGUGGCACUGU